rnacentral:rRNA from 1 species
UACGAAGGGGGCUAGCGUUGCUCGGAAUUACUGGGCGUAAAGCGCACGUAGGCGGUUUCUUAAGUCGGGGGUGAAAUCCUGGAGCUCAACUCCAGAACUGCCUUCGAUACUGAGAGACUUGAGUUCGGGAGAGGGAUGCAGAAUUCCAGGUGUAGCGGUGAAAUGCGUAGAUAUCUGGAGGAAUACCGGUGGCGAAGGCGGCAUCCUGGACCGACAUUGACGCUGAGGAGCGAAAGCUAGGGGAGCAAACGGG